UCCGAGGAUAGAGUCACGCUCAGGUGUUGGUUGCUGCCUUGGUGUGCUGGAAUCCUGGAAGAGUAACUGUUGACCUUAUUCACUGGCUGGGGACUUUCUGGCACAGUCAGUCACCAGGUUAGUGACAUGC
rnacentral:snoRNA from 1 species